rnacentral:rRNA from 1 species
CCUACGGGAGGCAGCAGUGGGGAAUAUUGCACAAUGGGGGAAACCCUGAUGCAGCGACGCCGCGUGAGUGAAGCAGUAUUUCGGUAUGUAAAGCUCUAUCAGCCGGGAAGAAAAUAACGGUACCUGACUAAGAAGCCACGGCUAACUACGUGCCAGCAGCCGCGGUAAUACUUAGGGGGCAAGCGUUAUCCGGAUUUACUUGGUGUAAAGGGAGCGUAGGCGGCGGAACAAGUCAGAAGUGAAAACCCCGGGCUCAACCCUGGGAGUGCUUGUGAAACUGUUGGGCUGGAGUGCAGGAGAGGUAAGCGGAAUUCCUAGUGUAGCGGUGAAAUGCGUAGAUAUUAGGAGGAACACCAGUGGCGAAGGCGGCUUACUGGACUGUAACUGACGUUGAGGCUCGAAAGCGUGGGGAGCAAACAGGAGUAGAUACCCGAGUAGUC